rnacentral:rRNA from 1 species
GAUGAACGCUGGCGGCGUGCCUAAUACAUGCAAGUCGAGCGAACAGAUGAGGAGCUUGCUCCUCUGACGUUAGCGGCGGACGGGUGAGUAACACGUGGAUAACCUACCUAUAAGACUGGGAUAAUUUCGGGAAACCGGAGCUAAUACCGGAUAAUAUAUUGAACCGUAUGGUUCAAUAGUGAAAGACGGUUUUGCUGUCACUUAUAGAUGGAUCCGCGCCGCAUUAGCUAGUUGGUAAGGUAACGGCUUACCAAGGCAACGAUGCGUAGCCGACCUGAGAGGGUGAUCGGCCACACUGGAGCUGAGACGCGGUCCAGACUCCUACGGGAGGCAGCAGUAGGGAAUCUUCCGCAAUGGGCGAAAGCCUGACGGAGCAACGCCGCGUGAGUGAUGAAGAUCUUCGGAUCGUAAAACUCUGUUAUUAGGGAAGAACAAAUGUGUAAGUAACUAUGCACGUCUUGACGGUACCUAAUCAGAAAGCCACGGCUAACUACGUG